UACGGAGGAGGCAAGCGUUAUCCGGAAUUAUUGGGCGUAAAGCGUCCGCAGGUGGCACCUCAAGUCUGCUGUCAAAGACCGGGGCUUAACCCCAGAAAGGCAGUGGAAACUGAAGUGCUAGAGUGCAGUAGGGGUAGAGGGAAUUCCCGGUGGAGCGGUGAAAUGCGUAGAGAUCGGGAAGAACAUCGGUGGCGAAAGCGCUCGGCUGGACUGCAUCUGACACUCAGGGACGAAAGCUAGGGGAGCGAAUGGG
rnacentral:rRNA from 1 species